CAGCCUGAAGUGAUGAUUCACGUUCAUGUCUCUUCUCUUAUAAAUCUCUUGAAGAAAAUUAUGUGCAUCUGAUCAGGCCU